rnacentral:rRNA from 1 species
AGAGUUUGAUCAUGGCUCAGAUUGAACGCUGGCGGUAUGCUUAACACAUGCAAGUCGAACGCGAAAGCACCUUCGGGUGUAAGUAGAGUGGCGGACGGGUGAGUAAGGCAUGGGAAUCUGCCCUAUAGCGGGGGAUAACUUGGGGAAACCCAAGCUAAUACCGCAUACACCUACGGGUAAAAGAUGGCCUCUUCUUGAAAGCUAUUACUAUAGGAUGAGCCCAUGUAAGAUUAGCUAGUUGGUAGGGUAAAAGCCCACCAAGGCUACGAUCUUUAGCUGGUCUGAGAGGACGAUCAGCCACACUGGGACUGAGACACGGCCCAGACUCCUACGGGAGGCAGCAGUGGGGAAUAUUGGACAAUGGGGGCAACCCUGAUCCAGCAAUACCGCGUGUGUGAAGAAGGCCUGCGGGUUGUAAAGCACUUUUAUCUGUGAGGAAGGGUUUAAUGUUAAUACCAUUAGACAU